UUUUCUUUUUGGUUAUGUUGGGUUUUUUAAUCUAUCAUCAUCAUCAUCAUCAUCAAGCUGAUGAGCAAUGUCUGCUGCAGUCAUUCUUAGAUCUACCACAGCUUUCCUUCUAAUAAACUGGUCCUCUCAAAUUAUCGUUUUUCUUGCCUUCCAGAUCAUGUUUUAUCUUUCAGUCCUAAUCCUACAUGAUGUUUAGCCAGACUAUCAUUCAUCCUUGAUUUACUAUGAAAAGCAAGGAUGAAAUCUCACGAGAUGUUCUGUCUUUCUCUGACAACACAAUAACCCUUUGACACAACUGAAUAGUCAUAUGUGGAGUCAUAGCUGUGCUUUGAAAAUAUAAAUUGAACUUUCUUCUUCAAGUACUGUCAUUCUUAUAAUGACAUGGAUUUGUUUAGUGCUUUUGAGUGCUAUUAAAAUAUGGAAUGUUGGUUUGGCCAGAAACUUUUGCACAUACUUAUCUUGGUAUUUUGAAUUGUAAUAAUACCUCUUUGUAUAUAAUCAUAAUUAUUUCAUCAUUAGCUGUAGUUGGACUGUUUCAAAUACUGUUAUUAGUUUUUGAUUUUUUUUAUUUCAGGUUUUAUGAGAGUGCAUGGUAUUUCUUACUUGGCUGGAAACUUUUGCAUGCCGCUGUACAUUGUUAUUUCCCAUGAUAGUUGACCUUGCAUCAGUCUUCCACUAUUACUAUUGAACUCCUUCUUUAUCAUGAUCUAGUUGCUUUGCCUGACAAUUACAUUACUAAAAUUAACCAAAUUUUCACAAUUAUUUAAUAAUAAUAUAAAAAAAAUAAUAGGAAUUUGAAUACAUAUUAAUAUAU
rnacentral:lncRNA from 1 species